rnacentral:rRNA from 1 species
GAUGAACGCUGGCGGCGUGCCUAACACAUGCAAGUCGAGCGAAGCGGUUUUAAGGAAGUUUUCGGAUGGAAUUAAAAACUGACUGAGCGGCGGACGGGUGAGUAACGCGUGGGUAACCUGCCUCAUACAGGGGGAUAACAGUUAGAAAUGGCUGCUAAUACCGCAUAAGCACACAGCUUCGCAUGGAGCAGUGUGAAAAACUCUGGUGGUAUGAGAUGGACCCGCGUCUGAUUAGCUAGUUGGUAAGGUAACGGCUUACCAAGGCGACGAUCAGUAGCCGACCUGAGAGGGUGACCGGCCACAUUGGGACUGAGACACGGCCCAA